UGGGGAAUAUUGGACAAUGGAGGAAACUCUGAUCCAGCAAUUCUGUGUGUGUGAAGAAGGUUUUAGGACUGUAAAACACUUUUAGUAGGGAAGAAAAAAAUGACGGUACCUACAGAAGAAGCAACGGCUAAAUACGUGCCAGCAGCCGCGGUAAUACGUAUGUUGCGAGCGUUAUCCGGAAUUAUUGGGCUUAAAGGGCAUCUAGGCGGUAAGACAAGUUGAAGGUGAAAACCUGUGGCUCAACCAUAGGCUUGCCUACCAAACUGUUGAACUAGAGUACUGGAAAGGUGGGUGGAACUACACGAGUAGAGGUGAAAUUCGUAGAUAUGUGUAAGAAUGCCGAUGAUGAAGAUAACUCACUGGACAGAAACUGACGCUGAAGUGCGAACGCUAGGGGAGCAAACAGG
rnacentral:rRNA from 1 species